rnacentral:rRNA from 1 species
CCUACGUGGGGCAGCAGUGGGGAAUAUUGCGCAAUGGGCGAAAGCCUGACGCAGCGACGCAGCGUGAGGGAUGAAGGUCUUCGGAUCUUUAACCUCCGUUAGCACGGAAGUACGGUCACUGUGCUAUUCAGCUGUGCAUUGACGGUAUCUGCAAAGGCAGCACAGUCUAAGUCCGUGCCAGCGGCUGCGGUAAUACGGCGGUUGCGUGCGUUAAUCGGAUUUACUGGGCGUAAAGCGAGCGUAGGCGGUAUGUCAAGUCUAGGGUGAAAUCCCCGCGCUCAACCUGGGAACUGCCUUUGAAACUGGCAAACUGGAGUGGGGGAGAGGAUAGGGGAAUUCGAGGUGUAGGGGUGAAAUGCGUAGAUA